GACAGAGGUGCCGAGCGUUGGGCGGAAUCACUGGGCUUAAAGCGUGUGUAGGCGGACCGUUAAGUACCUUGUGAAAUCCCCCGGCUCAACCGGGGAACGGCUGGGUAUACUGGCGGUCUUGAGCCAUCCAGGGGCAGUCGGAACAGACGGUGGAGCGGUGAAAUGCGUAGAUAUCGUCUGGAACGCCGAAGGUGAAAACAGACUGCUGGGGAUGCGCUGACGCUGAGACACGAAAGCCAGGGGAGCGAACGGG
rnacentral:rRNA from 1 species